UUAGAGAGCUAGUUGGCGCCAAGUCCAGUUCGUCAUCGAAACACGAGAGGAGGCGGAGGGAAGGAGGGGGUGGAUAGCACCGCUGGUUGUUCCUGUGUGUCCGUGUGAACAGAGGUGACUUGUGCUUGACUUGUGGCUUGGAUUCAUAGGGACAAGGCUAAACUAGAGCUGUUGCUGCUUGCGUUCCAUUAAUAUAUUUGGUUGUUCGAUCAUGAAGAAAUUGAUGCAAGAACCAGAUGCCAGAAUGCGAGGGUGAACUCACCGCAUCAAAUGCAGGGUGAACUCACUCAAGUGAAGUCACUCAACCAAGCAAGAUCCACCCAAUACAAGGCUAGAACUAGUACAGAAAACCAAACAUCAUGCAAAAGCACUGCUAUAGCCAGGCUUAGAUCGGCCUGGCUUAGAUCUUAGCCAGGCUAAGUCUAGACCAAGCAACCAAUCACUCCCUAUAGCUCUCUCUCCGGCCCUGCCCACGCCUCCGCCGCAGCUCUUCCUGCAGCACCAACCACAGCCGUGAGCUCCUGCCGCGGAGCGAAGUGACACGACGAAGACGCUCGGCGACGGUCUGCUGCUGCUGCUUACGAGGCAAGUGCUGGCUCGGCUCCAUGCCGAUCUGUAAUGCGAAGAUGGAGGCCGCCGGAAGCACGGGCAAAGGCUGCAUUUCGGAGCUCGAAAGCUGAAACGAAAUCUCCGAGAUCCAAAUUGGGUACGGCUCCACCGAUGAGUGGUUCCUCGCGGCGGGGUUGGAGGCGGAUGCAGAGAUGGCGGCAGCGGCUGGGGCGCGCCGCGGGAGGGGAGAGGUCUCGUUGGCCGCCCUAACGACAGAAGGCGCCGCCGCCCGCCGGGGUGGGAUGCGCCCAGGCGGCUGCAGCGAGCAGCUGUUCUGGGUCGCUACUGGCUUCCCCACUGAGAAAGAGACGCGAAGAAGAGGAAGAACAUCUCCUUCAUUAAGCGAAAUGCAGAGAUGAAACCGGAACAGGCAGCAAAAGAAAAGAAGAGACAUUGGAGCGCGCAAGCUGCUGGCCCAUGUCUUACGCGUAGAUCUGCUUGAGUUACCGCAAUGCUCUGGAAGAAUCAAGAAUGCGCAGGCAGAACGGCUCCGUACCUGCUCGACUCCUCUGGUUGUCGUGGACGAGCUCCUCCCCUCAAAGCCGCCAGCCAUUGCAGCCAGCGGGGGGGAAAGAUAGAUGUCCAGACCACCUCAAAGCCGCCAGCCAACGCAAAGGAGGGCAGCACACCCUGAGCGAUGUCCAGACCUCCUCUGAUCAACAGUGGGAGGGAGCAAAAGACGGCAUUGAAGCGACGGAAAGAGGACGCGCAGGGAAAGGAUGAAAGCGAGCUGGAGGUGGUAAAGACUAAAGAGAGGGUGCAGAGCUGAGAGCUGAGCUUGGGGAGGGGAGGACGACGGGAGGCGAGUUGCGCGGUUCAAGGCAAGGGAGCCGGAACGUGAAACGGCAGCGGUUUCAGGCUGGUGCGCGCUUAAAGCGGAGAAAGACGAGGCAGAGACGAUGCACACUUCAGACGCAGGGCAUCUCCCCGUGCCGGCCAGAACCAGAAGCAUUAUUGCAGAGGAUCUGUCGCGGUUGCGAACAGAGGCACGGAGCCCCGGAGAAGACCGGGCCGCGGCCGGCCUGUCCCGGAGCACCUGACAGUACUCGGCUGCCCUGAACAGGCUGUGUUUAGUUUCAAACUUCAAAAUUCCAAAAAUUUUAUAAAUCAUUUGCAUAGUGUA